GUUAGGUGUUUAUUUUUAAAUCAGGUACAUGUGCCCAGACCAUGGCAGGAUGUUUGAACUGUGCACAUCAGGUCUUUCACCCACUGUUUAUAUGAAUGUCAUUCACUAGCCGGCCUCUGCGGAAGAUAAACAGAUUGAAGAGCGAUGUGGACAUAUCAGAGUUCUGCAUUGCUUCCGCCUCUAACUCUGCUCCUGCUGCCGCAAGAAAUAAAACCUCUUGACCAGAAGCAUCUCAGAAAAAACAGGGAAGGGAGAAAAAGCAUUGGUCACAAACCAGGAGGCAGAGAACAGUGCAAAUCAGACAUCUACACCAAAAUGUUUAGAGAUGGGUGUUCUUGAAACCAUGAGACGCCUAGGGCAAUUGUCAGGAGUCUGAAGAUGACAGACAAAAAGCAACUGAAACAAAGACCAAAAAGACACAUGAUCCAUUUACCUGGCAUAAAAUAUUCCACAUGCACGCCAGAGAGACUUGCUAAAGGGACUGCAGGAUGGCCAAAUCCUUGCUGACAUUUGGAUCACUGGGCUUCUUCCUCACUCCAACUCUUGUGAAGUCUCAGAACCCACAAAGUCAAGCAGUUGGCUUGGACCUAUGCAUGGUGCAGGCAGAAGGGCUUAAAGGCUAAUCACAAACGCUAUAUUCUUUGAUACAGUGCAAUACCAUGGUCAAAUUGACAAAAAACAUGGGCACAAGCUCUAAGCCAGAAGUAAUUUUUGAUAGAACCAUCCUUGCCCUCUUUCUGCAGUGGAUGAUCCCAAGGUUUCACACACUGUUAUAACCAAAAGACAAAAUCCACAUGUAUUCAGUAGUCUGUGUCCAUUUUCUACUUUCCCCAGAUGUUUUCCCUUCAUUUUCCCCUCCUCUGCAGGAAUACCAGACGUAUGCCCUACAAAUAAGAGGUUUAAUCCCUGUAAUUCAGGGGAAAAGGCCCUAACUCUGUUGGAGAUCAACCAAAGUCACUCCUGCAGCCAUACCAAACCAGGAAUAGCAGUUGUGUUUGGGCUGUCAGCUGCAUGCUGUGGGUGCACUCCUACCCCUGAAGUUAGCCAUGAAACUCACUCUGGCUGUUGUGAGAGUAGGUUUAGGGUUAGUGCUUCUGAAAAUCCCACUCAUGGAAUACCACCUUUACCUUCAAAAGGUAAUUAGAAUAAUAAUUCAACAUAUGUACCUGAGACAGGGCGGACAGCUAAGAGCAAAAGGGAUAUUUGCAGCACUCAUUUCUAUGUUCAGGAUUUUAGAGUGCAAAAUAUUCUCGUGGCUAUUAUCUAAAGGUCACUUUCACUAGAGACUAAGGUGAACAAAAGGCAGAUGAUAUGGGGAACUCUCCCUUCACACAUUUUAUCAUGUUGCCUGAUAGAAUUAACAAGUAAAAGGACAGCAAGACCACGUGCAAUCCCCCAAUAGCCCCAAAACUCCAGCGUUACUCUUGGGUAGCUCAUAGACCCAGACUGCAAAAGAAAAAUCCAAGUAACAAAAUAGCAGCAUUUAGUGGCAAAACAAGGCCUUAAGCCUCUGACACACAACUUGCUGGCUGUACCAAAACGUUUACUGAUAAAAAUUGUUGGUGGAACAAAGGGACGUAGAAGCAGCAAGGAUGGGGUAAAGAUAAUUUCUUCUGCAUGGGAGAACCAAUGAAUUCACCACUCAAAUAUCUGCAAACUCAGAGUGGAAAGACCACUUCCCUUGCAUUCGAAGUACUAUCAUGAGUUUCCCUUCAGGCUAUGAUACCAUCAAAGCCCAGUGUACUUCCUGUGUGGCACACUGUCCCCUGGCUGAAGGGCUAUCUUCUGAAAAGAUGAAAACAUCAAAUGCUGGGUAUUUCCCAUGAAUCAGCCCUAACCCCAGGUAUUUGAGAUGCAAUCUAAUUCUGCUGCACCAUGGGGACAAAAGUACAUAUAACUCCUAUUUUCUGUUUUGUGAGCAAUCAGAACAUCAAGUCAUCUUUUGAGCAACAGGAGAGUGCAGGCCUGAGCGUCCUUGGGGUGGGUGAGAGGACAGUUUGCUGCUGCUUAAGGCACUAAUCCAUGGACAUGGUUAGGGCAGACCCUAUAACAGAUUAUUGCUCUCAUCAGCUUACAGUGGUAACUUCCCCACGCCAUUCCCAUAGUUUUGGAAUAAAGAUUUCCAGAUGCACACCCCCAUGUCACUACCUGGGCCCACACCAGCACCAAGCAUUAUUUCCCAUUUCUACGGAUAAGCCCCAAUCCUCACUUAAUGCAUCACAGUCAGUGAAUUUCCCACAUGGCCCCUGAAGGCAACCUUGUGUCUCUGCUCCUCCUUGGAACCACAGCUGCAGGGUAAGAACUCCAAGUCCCAGUUCCAAGCUUUUUGGUUCAGAGUCUCAUCAUUUCCCAUCCUGAGCUGGGUGGGGGGAGACAAAGGCCAUCAGUCUGUCUGCAGAACAGGCUGGCUCUGUUUGCCCCAUGCCCCAGACAACAGAGAUUGUCGACUUUUAAUAGAGCACUCAGGUUUCCAUUGAUGCCAGCUGCAGAUAGAACAGUCCAGCAGCAAACAAGUUCAGUCCCUGGGGGCUGCUCAGAUUCUCCUCUUAUUUGUUAGUUUACCUGUAAAAUACAGUUGGGCUAAUUCUUGCUAGUGUGGUUGUAAAGUAUAUGUUUCCCUCCUCUUUGGAGCAAGUAAGGGGAAAAACCAAGCAAGUGCAGCGAGGCCAAUGGAGUAAGACAGCAUUUCCCAUGGCUUUGGAAACAGCAGGUAUUUUCUGCUGGGGAUUGUUUGCUGAACACCCUGUGCAGAGGUGAAGCUGUGCAGCACUUUAUAAUAACUAAGACCCAUUCACUACACACAAAAGUGCAGGAGGCAUCCUAAUAUCUCCAUGUUCAGAUGGGCUGAAAUCCAAUAGCUCCUCAUGACAUCAGCUGUUGAAUUUAUUACAUGCUUAUUACAAGGCCAAGAAAGGAGAAGGAAUUACCAGAAAAUUGUCUUACUUGAUUUUUAAACUUUAAUGAAAACAUUUUAAUCACACCUGAAAGCAUCAUAGUACUGAAAUGGACCGCAAUGCUAACCUGCAAUUCAAACCCCCACUUACAUUCCAUACAUGAGAAUGUCUCCUUGGACUCCUGUUAGGAUUCACCCUUGUCACCAAAAUACUGUUUAUUUUAACUGCAAAAUUUGCUGCUUCUUAGUCCUGAAAGCAUUAAAAGCUGUGAUUUACACAGGAGCCAUGAAAGAGAAAAGCUGCAGGGCUGAAAUUGGGUCCAGGCUGUGUUUGGAUGCUUGGCACCUGAGUGUUUGAUGACAGCUCUGAUUUAGGGCUGUGAGUGCAGAAUACUUAAACCAGUCUUGCAGGUCAAGACUGAAAUGCACCUACAGAACAAAGAUAACUUGCAUAUCACCUGUGUACAGUGUAUUUUGCACCAAAGUAGUCCACAUUCCUAAACAUUUUCUUACACAUUAAAAUAUACACAUUUCUUUUUCUAAGGAAAAUGGAUUCUAAUAAAACCCAAAAAUAAACACAUGUCUUGGGGCAGCAGGCUCCACACAGGUGCAGUUUUGCUGCUGAUGCCAAAUAAAAGCAGAGUGAAUAACUCUGAAAAUAUCAACUAGAAUAUAAGUGUAGAUAGCUUGAUUUAAAAAAAACUUCUGAGAGUUUUCCACAAGAUAUUUGCAUAAGCUGGCUAGGGAAAAGUCUCCUAGAGAAAUUCAUUAUAGACUGAGCAUGAGACUGUUUGGAGAACAUUAAGAGAAUAGUUAUAAAUGCUAUGCUGUUUGGGAGAGUGUAUUAAGCAUGGUUCACAGAAGCCUGUCCUUGAGCUAAUUCUAUUCAAUAUUUUCAUUCAUGAUCUCAAUGACUGGAUAGAUCAGUUGGAAUGAAUAUGCUGGAGGAAAUAACUAGAAUUUGAACCCAGCAAACUGGAACUGUAGUUUGAAAAAAUAAGAAGCUAUUUAAGAUGGGAUGUUGAAAUGUUUAAGCACAGAAUGAGAAAUGGAAGCCUAUAUCAAGAAACCUACAGAGGCAUCAUGAUCUGAGCUCACACAAACUCCUAAAUGUGCAAAACCUGCAGACAGGGAAGCAUAAACAGGAAGACGUCCUGAGACACCCCCAAAGUUAAAAUCCUACUUGAAUUAGUCAGCUCUCACGAGGUCUUAGCUAGAGAACUGCCUGGCUGAGAGAAAUGUACUUAAGAAAAGACACUGACCAUUUGGAGAAACUCAGGAAGACAGAAACAAGCCCAGGUCCAGGAAACACAGCCCCCAAGGGAGAGACUGUACCAACAAAGAACAUUUAGUCCAGAGGAAAGAAGAUUGAUCACAUCCAUGCUCAAUCUUCAAGUACAUAAAGAAUGCUGCAAAGUGAAAAAGAAUAGACUGUUCUCUGUAUCACAGUGGAACGGGAUAAAAUAUAUAAAAUAUAUAUAUAUAUA
rnacentral:lncRNA from 1 species